AGUAACUGCGAGUGAAGCGGCAAAAGCUCAAAUUUGAAAUCUGGCACCUUUGGCGUCCGAGUUGUAAUUUGGAGAGGCAUCUUCGGGGAUGGCAUACUGUCCUAAGUUUCUUGGAACAGGACGUCACAGAGGGUGAGAAUCCCGUGCCUGGAUGGUUGUCCAUCCCCAUUGUGAAGGGUCUUCGACGAGUCGAGUUGUUUGGGAAUGCAGCUCAAAAUGGGUGGUAAACGUCAUCUAAAGCUAAAUAUUGGCGAGAGACCGAUAGCGCACAAGUAGAGUGAUCGAAAGAUGAAAAGCACUUUGAAAAGAGAGUAAAAUAGUACGUGAAAUUGUUGAAAGGGAAGCGCUUGAGACCAGACACGGUCCGUGGUAAUCGCCCGCGCUUCGGUGCAGGUGCUCUUGCCAUGACCGGUGCCAGCAUCGGUUCUGGCGGUGGGACAAAAGGUAGGGGAAUGUGGCUUCCUCACUGGGAGUGUUAGAGCCCCUGCCACAAUGCCACCAGUCGGGACCGAGGACCGCGCUUCAGCUAGGAUGUUGGCGUAAUGGUCUUAAGCGACCCGUCUUGAAACACGGACCAAGGAGUCUAACAUCUAUGCGAGUGUUCGGGUGGAAAACCCUUGCGCGUAAUGAAAGUGAACGGAGGUGGGAACCCCGCAAGGGAGUGCACCAUCGACCGAUCCUGAUGUCUUCGGAAGGAUUUGAGUAAGAGCAUAGCUGUUGGGACCCGAAAGAUGGUGAACUAUGCCUGAAUAGGGUGAAGCCAGAGGAAACUCUGGUGGAGGCUCGCAGCGGUUCUGACGUGCAAAUCGAUCGUCAAAUUUGGGUAUAGG
rnacentral:rRNA from 1 species